GGCGGUGUAGCCGAGUGGCUCAGGCAAGGGUCUGCAAAACCCUGGACGCGGGUUCAAUUCCCGCCACCGCCUCCA
rnacentral:tRNA from 3 species